GAUUAGAGUUUGAUCAUGGCUCAGGACGAACGCUGGCGGCGUGCCUAACACAUGCAAGUCGUGCGAGAAAUCCCCCUUCGGGGGGAGAGUAAAGCGGCGCACGGGUGAGUAACGCGUAAGUAAUCUGCCCUUUGGUCUGGGUAUAACUCCGGGAAACCGGGGCUAAUACCAGAUAUCAUCACGGACUUCAUGGUUUGUGGUUGAAAGUUCUGGCGGUUGGGGAUGGGCUCGCGGCCUAUCAGCUUGUUGGUGGGGUAAUGGCCUACCAAGGCGUCGACGGGUAGCCGGCCUGAGAGGGCGACCGGCCACACUGGGACUGAGACACGGCCCAGACUCCUACGGGAGGCAGCAGUAGGGAAUAUUGCACAAUGGGCGAAAGCCUGAUGCAGCCAUGCCGCGUGAGUGAAGAAGGCCUUAGGGUUGUAAAGCUCUUUCAGCGGGGAAGAUAAUGACGGUACCCGCAGAAGAAGCCCCGGCUAACUCCGUGCCAGCAGCCGCGGUAAUAAU
rnacentral:rRNA from 1 species